ensembl:lncRNA
CUUCUCUUCCUGUUAGUCACACUGGGAGGAGGGCUCAGCACAGUGGGCCGGUCAUAAAUUACCAUGUGGGUCAGAGCAGCCCAAGUGCAAUACCAAGGGAAACAUAAAUCUUGGCUCGAGUCCUGUGAACAAUUCGUGAGAAAUCCGAAUGUAUUGAAAAAUCACAUGUUUACAGAGGGAUUGGAGACUAAGCCUAUCUUUAAAUUCAGCAGGCCCAGAAUUAAUCUUGUCUUUUAUCUAAACCAGUGUGAGAACCCCAGAAUUAGAUGACUAGUCUGAAGAAAACUCGACUUUCUGACUAGAAAUUGCCCACAAAUUCAAACACAGUUGUGUGUACGAUUUCUGGAGGUUUGUGGCUACUCUGAGGUUCAUCCACAAUUCUCAGGGCAAGCUUGGCCUUCCACAUCAGUAGGGAUUCUCUGUUCAUUCUUCUUGGAAAAUAUAGCAUUGAGGAUUUAAAUACACAGUCCAUUUUUCCUUAAUGAGGACCCUAGUACAUCUAUGUGACUUGAUGACAUUGGAUGGCUGAUUGCACCAGAAUUCUGGAGCUGAAGGGGGCCUCUGACAGAGGGAAUAACACAGUCCCUGGGUCGAAGAUGUGUGAGAGAGGAGGCUGGGAGAUGGCAUGAUUGCAAAUUCAAUAUCAGCUACUUCACAAUUUGCUCAAGACCUAUUGCUGGGAAUCACUACCUGAUACAUUGAGAAAAGCCUACAAACUCCUUAUUCCCCACUUAGCGUCUGAAUGUUUUAAAAUAAAUUAAAAGUAUAGAACUGGUUUGAAUUUUUCCCCUUUCUGUAGUAAGAGAAAUCUUGUGGAAAAGUUGAUUACUUCAGAGUGCAGCAG